rnacentral:rRNA from 1 species
ACGGCGAGUGAGCGGCAAGAGCUCAAUUUGAAUCUGGUACCUUCGGUGUCCGAGUUGUAAUUUGGAGAGGGCGCCUUUGGGGCCGUUCCUUGCCUAUUUUCCUUGGAACGGGACUUCAUGAGGGGGGAAAUUCCCGUGGGGAGGGGAUGGCCGUUCUUUGGUGAGUGCCCUUCAAC